UAACACGUGAGUAACCUGCCCUUAACUCUGGGAUAAGCCUGGGAAACUAGGUCUAAUACCGGAUAGGAGCGCCUACCGCAUGGUGGGUGUUGGAAAGAUUUAUCGGUUUUGGAUGGACUCGCGGCCUAUCAGCUUGUUGGUGAGGUAAUGGCUCACCAAGGCGACGACGGGUAGCCGGCCUGAGAGGGUGACCGGCCACACUGGGACUGAGACACGGCCCAGACUCCUACGGGAGGCAGCAGUGGGGAAUAUUGCACAAUGGGCGAAAGCCUGAUGCAGCGACGCCGCGUGAGGGAUGACGGCCUUCGGGUUGUAAACCUCUUUCAGUAGGGAAGAAGCGAAAGUGACGGUACCUGCAGAAGAAGCACCGGCUAACUACGUGCCAGCAGCCGCGGUAAUACGUAGGGUGCGAGCGUUAUCCGGAAUUAUUGGGCGUAAAGAGCUCGUAGGCGGUUUGUCGCGUCUGUCGUGAAAGUCCGGGGCUUAACCCCGGAUCUGCGGUGGGUACGGGCAGACUA
rnacentral:rRNA from 1 species